rnacentral:rRNA from 1 species
AGGACGAACGCUGGCGGCGUGCCUAACACAUGCAAGUGGAGCGACGGACCAGGGCUUGCCCUGGGGCCAAGCCGCGAACGGGUGAGUAACACGUGGGUAACCUGCCCCGAUGACCGGGACAACUCGAGGAAACUCGGGCUAAUACCGGAUGUUCUCUCCGCACUCAAGUGCGGUGAGAAAGGAAGCUUCGGCCUCCGCUUCGGGAGGGGCCCGCGGCCCAUUAGCUUGUUGGUGAGGUAACGGCUCACCAAGGCUGCGAUGGGUAGCUGGUCUGAGAGGACGAUCAGCCACACUGGGACUGAGACACGGCCCAGACUCCUACGGGAGGCAGCAGUGGGGAAUCUUGCGCAAUGCGCGAAAGCGUGACGCAGCAACGCCGCGUGGGGAAGAAGGCCUUCGGGUUGUAACCCUUUCAGGAGGACGAAGGUGCGGCGGCGAAUAGCCGACCGUAUUGACGGUACCUCCAGAAGAAGCCCCGGCUAACUACGUGCCAGCAGCCGC